UGCUGCCAGGAGGGGUGGCUCGAGCUGCUUCUGCGCCCAGCCCACCCUCGUCCAGCCGCCUGUCUGUGCCUAAGGAGAUGAGGUUGCUGAAUUCCUUCUCUAGGAGUUGCCGGGCCUGGAGAAGGAGGCGGGAGAGAAGUUGGUGUGUGCAAUCUCCACUGGGAGAGCCCGGCCUACUCCAGGCCCAGGGACCGCUCACCUGCGCGUUCUGCGUGGGGAUCUGCAGGAGCAAGGCCAGGUCGGAGUAGUCGAAGGUCUCGUCCAGGGCGAGCAGAGCCCCAUGCACCCCGCUUUCUCCGUGAGAUUCGUGAGCGAGACCAUCUCCUGGAUGGCGAGGGCGCAGCUUGAGCCGGUGCAGCGGGUUGCUGAUGCCGAUCUCGCGCUGGAUCUCCGUGUCCGACAAGUUGGCCAUGAUGGCACCGCUCUUGACGUUGGCCCGGCAGGCGGCCACAUACCACGCGGGCAUGCCUACCCACAGC
rnacentral:lncRNA from 1 species